rnacentral:rRNA from 1 species
GAGCAUUGGGGCAGCUUACCAUGCAGUCGAGCGGAGAUGAGGUGCUUGCACCUUAUCUUAGCGGCGGACGGGUGAGUAAUGCUUAGGAAUCUGCCUAUUAGUGGGGGACAACAUUCCGAAAGGGAUGCUAAUACCGCAUACGUCCUACGGGAGAAAGCAGGGGAUCUUCGGACCUUGCGCUAAUAGAUGAGCCUAAGUCGGAUUAGCUAGUUGGUGGGGUAAAGGCCUACCAAGGCGACGAUCUGUAGCGGGUCUGAGAGGAUGAUCCGCCACACUGGGACUGAGACACGGCCCAGACUCCUACGGGAGGCAGCAGUGGGGAAUAUUGGACAAUGGGGGGAACCCUGAUCCAGCCAUGCCGCGUGUGUGAAGAAGGCCUUAUGGUUGUAAAGCACUUUAAGCGAGGAGGAGGCUACUGAGACUAAUACUCUUGGAUAGUGGACGUUACUCGCAGAAUAAGCACCGGCUAACUCUGUGCCAGCAGCCGCGGUAAUACAGAGGGUGCGAGCGUUAAUCGGAUUUACUGGGCGUAAAGCGUGCGUAGGCGGCUUUUUAAGUCGGAUGUGAAAUCCCCGAGCUUAACUUGGGAAUUGCAUUCGAUACUGGGAAGCUAGAGUAUGGGAGAGGAUGGUAGAAUUCCAGGUGUAGCGGUGAAAUGCGUAGAGAUCUGGAGGAAUACCGAUGGCGAAGGCAGCCAUCUGGGCCUAAUACUGACGCUGAGGUACGAAAGCAUGGGGAGCAAACAGGAUUAGAUACCCUGGUAGUCCAUGCCGUAAACGAUGUCUACUAGCCGUUGGGGCCCUUUGAGCUUUAGUGGCGCAGCUAACGCGAUAAGUAGACCGCCUGGGGAGUACGUCGCAAGACUAAAACUCAAAUGAAUUGACGGGGGUCGCCACAAAGCGGUGGAGGCAUGGUGAUUAUUUCGAUGCAACGCGAAGAACUUUACUGGCUUGAACUACUAGAAACUUGCAGGAUUGGAUUGGGUGCCUUUCGGAUGCCUAAGGAUUAACCAGGUCUGGCAUGCCUUGUCGUCAGCUCAGUUCCUGAAAAUGUAGUUAGUCCGCACGAGGGCAACCUAUCCUUACUUGGCAACUUCC